AAAUUAUUCAGCUCCUUCAGGAGAGGGGUGCUAUGACUUUUCAGCUUUUUAGCUCUUAAGCUUGAAUUUAUAUAAAUCUAUAAUCAUUAAUAUUUUAACAUGGUUUUCAAAUGGAGUUUGCUUUUCAAAUCCUCUUAAACUUCUUCAACUUUCAGAUUCUUCAGCUUCGCCAAUCUUUCAGCUACAGACAUCAUUUCAACUUUCAAAUGUUGACACAAGUCUCAACUAUUUUAUGAAAAAAACUGCUUCUUGAUAUCUAUUGUACUUUUUUCAUAAUCACUGAUUAUGUUUCACUAGUUCUUCGCUCCGUUUCUGACUUUUACAUGAGUGUGUAUUGCGUCUGCCAGAGGCGGGGCCUCGCAGGCUAGAGUGUGGGGCAUCGCAGAAAUCUGGUUAAAAAAGUAUGGAACUUCUGUCCUUGCAGCCAAAGUAUACACUCUAGAGGCUUCAUUUCUUCAGAUUAAUGAGGGUAUGGUUGUGCUGAUUGGAUUAAUGUGUUCAUGGAAUCUCAGAGUUUUUUAGUUUUGGCGCAAGGAGUGUUUGAGUGACACAACCUCUGCCAAAAGCCCCAUAGGCUCCAAUACAAAUCUGCCGACAUAUUUCUCACAAAAAUCCACAAGGUACACGUUCUGUCAACGGCCAUAGGAGCCGUAUUUAUUACCGGACAGACAUAAAAAGCACAUCCACGCGUUCGGUAGAGUCUUGGGUCUCAUACAAACGCCGUAUUUUUUAGAUAGCUGUUAUAGUUUUUCGCUGGUUCCCAUUUGUCUGAGGUGUGGAUUCUGUGUAACUAGCUCCCAUGUCUCCCCUUUUGCAGCCGCACAGGUGCGGCGUUGUCGUGGUUACGAGCACUCACACGCUGCAGGAUCUGUCUGUGACUCACAGCUGCUCCUUGUGACCUGAUUAGUGGAGUCACAUGACGCAGCUAUGCUUUCUGUCAACAGACCAAUAUGAUAAAGACACUGGCCCCCCCUCCCCCCUCCACCCUGACCUCUUCUCACUGUUAAUCACUCAGUCAGUCAGUCAGUCUGUCUAAUUCUCCUCCCCUCUCCCUCUCUCUCUUCCUCACCACCAUUCCCUUCCUCACCCUCUCACCCUCCCUCCCUCUAUCUACACCCCCCCACCCCACCCAAUCCAAUAGGUGCGCCGUUGUCGUGGGUACUCGCUCACACGCUGCGGGGUCUCUGUGUGUGGGUCAAGGCUGCUCCUAUGACCUGGUUAGUGG
ensembl:lncRNA